AGCAAACUCUGUCAUUCACCUUCGAACCCACGACUCGCUGCAAACUCUUCUCAUUUGAAACCUGCCGCCCACCAUUUCCCCAUUACUUCGAGUUCACGUCAAAAUUCAUCUCAAAUUCUCCCCAAAUCCAAAUCACCAACUCCCUCACCAAAAAUUUGAUCCCCAAAAAAAAAAUAUUUUUUGUAAUUUACUCGAAUUAUCAGCCGCAUUGCUCGAUCAGAAUCCGGAAAAGCUCGAAGCUUUCUGCCCCCAGUUCGAUCCCGAAACGAUGUCGUUCGACGAGGAGGAGGAGGCGUUCGAGCACACGCUGCUCGUGGUCCGGGAGGUCGCAGUCUUCAAAAUCCCGCCGCGAAGCACUUCCGGCGGAUACAAGUGCGGCGAGUGGCUCCAGUCUGAUAAGAUCUGGUCCGGUCGGCUCCGGGUCGUGUCGUGCAAGGACCGGUGCGAGAUCCGGCUGGAGGAUCCGAACUCCAGCGAGCUCUUUGCCGCCUGCUUUGUCCACCCGGGCCAGCGCGAGACCUCCGUCGAGACCGUCCUCGACUCGUCGCGCUACUUCGUACUCAAGAUCGAGGACGGCACCGGGAAGCACGCCUUCAUCGGGCUAGGGUUCGCGGAGCGGAACGAAGCGUUCGAUUUCAACGUGGCGCUUUCGGACCACGAGAAGUACGUGAAGAGGGAGCACGAGAAGGAGAGCAACGGCGGCGAAACCAGCGACGAGGGCCACAUCGAUAUUCAUCCCGCCCUCAAUCAUAGAUUGAAAGAAGGUGAAACGAUAAGGAUAAAUGUGAAGCCAAAGCCGACGAGUGGGGCCGGGAUGCUGUCCGCCGCCGGGCUAUCCGGGACGACGAAGGCAAAACCUAUUAGUUUGGGGUUGGCUCCGCCACCUGGGUCCGGGAAAGUUAGGUCGGCUCUGCCACCACCUCCCAAUGACCCUGUUGCUGCUAGAAUCAGCUCUGGUGUUGUCAAGUCGCCGGAUAACACAAGACGUGGAUCGGACCCGUUAUCGGAUCUUUCCCAGAUUGAGGCCUUACCUGCCCUUCAAUUCCUGAUUGACCUGAAAAGUUGGUUCUGAGUCCCAUUCUGAGAACGGCAAGCUCAGAAUGAGUAGCUAGCCAACAUUAGUUUAUGUCCAUACCUUAUUGUCAUGUGCGUUCAAAGUUUGAACAUGUAGGAAGUGAUUGCAAUCAGAAAGCUUAGUUCUAGCAAAUUUGAGGAAUCUUCCCCCCGCGACCGGAUCAGGCUCGACAAAGACAAGUGCAGCUGGAUGGGCGGCUUUCUGAUUGUGUGAGCAUCUGUUAAUUAUCAUCGAGGUCUUCAUUUGAUUUUUUUUCUACCUUUUUUGAGGAAAAAGGAGUGAGAGGAAGGAAUAUGUGAGAAAGGAAAGAAAGCACGAGGUACCAAAUACUUCCAUAUGUGUGUUUCCCCGCAAUAUAUUUUCGAGCUUCUUUUGUUCAUUGUGCCGGCUCUUUGUCAACUUACAGUUUCAUGUUUUUGCUUCUAUAUAAUAGAGAAAUGUGCCUUAUCUCUUUCA